UGACCGUAAUGUUUAUUCAAUCAAUGACUGGUUGCAUGGGCUUGAUCCACAAUGACUCAGCUUUCAGCCAUCGCAAUUGUGCUAUGCUCAGCUGUCAAGUGUGUUUUAAAUCUCCUACUACAUUUUUUUUAAAGUUUUUCUGCCAUCCUUUGUACUCCUUUUUAAAAACUUAUCCAGGAAGUGGUAUGAAAUCUCCAGUACUUCUCGGCACACACAGAUGCGUCUUUUUCUGUUUAUUGUUUUCCCUCUGAGAGUUGUAGUGUUCAGUUGGUUACACCAAGAGAAGUACUUGGCUGGGACUGUUAAAAAAAGUGUCACAAAGCAGCACCAAGGAGAAAACAACACUGUUUUCUGAAUGUUCGUGCUUGGAAUUUCUUUACUACAGGGAAAAUGAGAUGGGGGAGGGCCCUUCUUAUCUAUUUUCAGACAGACAUCUCACAAAUGCAUAAAAAAUAUAAUCCUUUUAGUUCCACUGGCCUUGUAGUUGUUGUAAAUGCAUCUUAAAUUCCUAAAUGAUUUUUAAAUUACAUUAUGUCUUUCAGCGGUGUAGGCUUUGAUUUCUGAGGCUGUUAGCCAGAUAUAGGCUUUAACAAACACUCAUGUUCUUUUGUCUUUAUGUCUUUAUUUUAAAAUUAUAUAUAUACAUAUAUAUAUGUAUGUAUGUAUGUAUAAGUAUCCAGUGAGUAUAAGAAAAAUAUCAAAGAGAAGAAUUUUUCUCAUUCUGUCUUCAAAUAGGUAAUACUUCACAAAUUGAUGUAUGCUCAUGGACAAUAGCAGGUAAUGCUUUUGAAACUGAAAGAUUUGUCUCUGAGUUCCAACAAUUGUCUUAGCAGACAGAGUUUCAAGGUCAUCAAAUCUGUAUCCAUUGGUGGCAUAGAAGAUGUCAAUCACAUUGCCUUUGAAUCAGAACCUAUCAUUGUCAAUACAGAUAAACUGCAGGUUAACUCUCUCUCUGUCUCGCCCCUGGAAACUAGGCUUAAUGUUUUG
rnacentral:lncRNA from 10 species